rnacentral:rRNA from 1 species
UACGAAGGGUGCAAGCGUUACUCGGAAUUACUGGGCGUAAAGCGUGCGUAGGUGGUUUGUUAAGUCUGCUGUGAAAGCCCCGGGCUCAACCUGGGAAUGGCAGUGGAUACUGGCAAGCUAGAGUGCGAUGAGAGGGGUGUGGAAUUCCCGGUGUAGCGGUGAAAUGCGUAGAGAUCGGGAGGAACACCAGUGGCGAAGGCGGCACCCUGGAUCAGCACUGACACUCAGGCACGAAAGCUAGGGGAGCAAACAGG